CUUGUGGAUCUACUUCUUUAGCCAGCUUGAGCGCAUCGCUAUUAGCCAAGUCAGUAUUAGCUGGUGUUACAGCUAAUAUAAGACAGUUGUCCCUUUUAAUAAAUUGGAAUAUCAUGCCCUUAAUUUGAGCUUCAAUAUCCACUGGUUGAUCUCCAAUUGGUACUUUGGUAAGACCAGGCAAGUCAAUCAGGAAAACCACGUACCAUUUGGGGAAUAAACUCUGAGGUUGAUUGGUAUAUUCGAAAUGCCUUUGUUACUACCGGUAACUCUGUCAGUUUCCGCCUCAAUUUCUUUACGCACCUCAUCGAAAUCCACAAACUUUUUACCCUUUUGAUGAAGAAAUUCAGCAUGUUCUGGAAUAAAUAAAAAUCAAAACAAUCAUCUUAUUCAAUAGAUUUUUUUUAUAUA
rnacentral:misc_RNA from 1 species